rnacentral:lncRNA from 1 species
GCCUGCUCAACAAGAAGGUUCGGGAAGAAUACCGGAAGUGGGCCUGCCUAGUUGCUGGGGGGAGCAAGUACUCAGAAUUCACCUCCACCACGUCUGGCACUGGCCACAAUCAGACCCGGGCCCUCAGGGCAUCAGAGUCCGGCAUAUGAAGGCGCAUGGUUCUGGACGGCCCAGCAGCUCCUGUGGCCACAGCAGCUUUGUACACGAAGACCAUCCAUCCUCCCUUCGUCCACCACUCUACUCCCUCCACCCUCCCUCCCUGAUCCCGUGUGCCACCAGGAGGGAGUGGCAGCUAUAGUCUGGCACCAAAGUCCAGGACACCCAGUGGGGUGGAGUCGGAGCCACUGGUCCUGCUGCUGGCUGCCUCUCUGCUCCACCUUGUGACCCAGGGUGGGGACAGGGGCUGGCCCAGGGCUGCAAUGCAGCAUGUUGCCCUGGCACCUGUGGCCAGUACUCGGGACAGACUAAGGGCGCUUGUCCCAUCCUGGACUUUUCCUCUCAUGUCUUUGCUGCAGAACUGAAGAGACUAGGCGCUGGGGCUCAGCUUCCCUCUUAAGCUAAGACUGAUGUCAGAGGCCCCAUGGCGAGGCCCCUUGGGGCCACUGCCUGAGGCUCACGGUACAGAGGCCUGCCCUGCCUGGCCGGGCAGGAGGUUCUCACUGUUGUGAAGGUUGUAGACGUUGUGUAAUGUGUUUUUAUCUGUUAAAAUUUUUCAGUGUUGACACUUAAAAUUAAACACAUGCAUAC